AUCGCUUCUCGGCCUUUUGGCUAAGAUCAAGUGUACUUACAUUUAAGAAUUUUAUUGAGGCACAUUAAUUAUAUGUAUUUAUGGACACUGCAUGAUAUUUCAAGACAUACAUUCAACGUUUA
ensembl:snRNA U2 U2 spliceosomal RNA